AGAACGAACGCUGGCGGCAGGCCUAACACAUGCAAGUCGAACGCCCCGCAAGGGGAGUGGCAGACGGGUGAGUAACGCGUGGGAACGUGCCCUUCGGUUCGGAAUAACUCAGGGAAACUUGAGCUAAUACCGGAUACGUCCGUAAGGAGAAAGAUUUAUCGCCGAAGGAUCGGCCCGCGUCGGAUUAGCUAGUUGGUGAGGUAACGGCCCACCAAGGCGACGAUCCGUAGCUGGUCUGAGAGGAUGAUCAGCCACACUGGGACUGAGACACGGCCCAGACUCCUACGGGAGGCAGCAGUGGGGAAUAUUGGACAAUGGGCGCAAGCCUGAUCCAGCCAUGCCGCGUGAGUGAAGAAGGCCUUAGGGUGUAAAGCUCUUUCAGCGGGAAGAUAAUGAACGGUACCGCAGGAAGAAGCCCCGGACUAAACUCGUGCCAGCAGACCGC
rnacentral:rRNA from 1 species